CCACCCACGGCCGUUGCGUCGGUUUGUUUUCGCCGCCAUUUUGUGUUGCAUUACUGGGAAAAAAGGGUUUGUGUGCCGGGAGUUACGGGUGGAUAUCAUUAGUCUGUGAAAAUAUAAUUGGGUUUCUGCUUGAGGGGAAGAGCAACAAAUCUCCAUCCUCUCCAUUUGUUUUGUUAUUGAAGGAAAGUGACAAAUCAGAAGGAAACUGAGCAAUCUAAACGAAAUCAGGCAGUCAAGCCCACCUCCUCCCUAGCCAGGGAGACUGAGAAGCGGCAGUAUUGCCGCAGCAUCGAGGGGACAUGACGGCACUGUGGCCCGAACCCCGAAAAUGCAGCUAAGCUUGAGAUUUGUUGAAAUCCCAGGAUGGGGCAAUCUCUCUGACCGAUAAAGAUAUGAUGCCCCAGACUGGCUUUAUUCUUUAACUUUUGAAGGGACUGUUUAAGGUA